rnacentral:rRNA from 1 species
UACGAAGGUGGCAAGCGUUGUUCGGAUUUACUGGGCGUACAGGGAGCGUAGGCGGUUGGAUAAGCCCUCCGUGAAAUCUCCAGGCUUAACCUGGAAAGUGCAGAGGGGACUGUUCAGCUAGAGGAUGGGAGAGGAGCGCGGAAUUCCCGGUGUAGCGGUGAAAUGCGUAGAGAUCGGGAGGAAGGCCGGUGGCGAAGGCGGCAUCCUGGACUACUACUGACGCUGAGUGAGCGAAAGCCAGGGGAGCAAACGGG